CCGUAUCCUACAGUAUAUGUUUACCUUGUAUCAUGAUGAUUGUUUCGUGCUAAAAUGCCAACAUGAAAUCCUGAGCUAUGCCUGUAAUAAGCUCCAAUCACUCGUGAACUAUACAUGCUAAUGUCUCAUACCAUGAUAAAUGUCUCAAAUUACCCGUACAAUGAUUAUCACCUCAUGAUAACAUGCCAUUGUGUAACCUUGAACCAUACAUAUGAUAUGCCCAACUUACUUGAUUUAUUUGAACUG
rnacentral:lncRNA from 1 species